UGAAACUAGAACACCCAUAUGGAGACUUGUCCCCAAAGUGUCUUGAUUUGCCAUAUCUUUAUCGAACCACUGUCCCACUCAUUUAUUCUGGUUUAUCAAAGCGUUUCGAUAGGGUAUUUGGUGCUGGGCAAUGACUAUGGUUAAGAAUGAAAGAGACUGCUCCGACGCCAUCGACCACUUCAGGUUAUACUUAAAUCUGGGUACUGCUUUUAGGAGGUCUUGUCUCAACCGGACAUGAUUUCCCAAUAGUCUUUUACCUUGCUUUGGGUGGAUCCUUGCUAUCAUACAUUUACCCUGCUCCACCUCUAAAGGUAGUGCUUUCUUUAAUUCUUUUAUUUCCUUCCUUCUUGCAUUUAAUUACCAAAGUGCUUUGAUGUUUAAGAAGAAGCUUUGCUUAAGCCCUGACAAAGCUUCCUAAUUUGUUGCAGCUUAAAAAAAGAGGUCAUCUACUGUUAUAGCCCAGACAUUGGAUACUUAUUAGUAGAUACACAUGAGCAUUGCAGGUAAUGAGUGCAUCAAAGAGGUCAAGAUCCAAGGAUUCAUAACAUGUGG
rnacentral:lncRNA from 1 species